UCUUACAGAUGAGCAAAGAAAGUGUUUUCUUCAGAUGGAAUCUACUCCUGGUGAAGAUGCUGUGAA
rnacentral:pre_miRNA from 1 species